AUUGAACGCUGGCGGCAUGCCUUACACAUGCAAGUCGAACGGUAACAGGUCUUCGGAUGCUGACGAGUGGCGAACGGGUGAGUAAUACAUCGGAACGUGCCUAGUAGUGGGGGAUAACUACUCGAAAGAGUGGCUAAUACCGCAUGAGAUCUACGGAUGAAAGCAGGGGAUCGCAAGACCUUGUGCUACUAGAGCGGCCGAUGGCAGAUUAGGUAGUUGGUGGGAUAAAAGCUUACCAAGCCGACGAUCUGUAGCUGGUCUGAGAGGGCGAUCAGCCACACUGGGACUGAGACACGGCGCAGAAUACUACGGGAGGCAGCAGUGGGGAAUUUUGGACAAUGGGCGCAAGCCUGAUCCAGCAAUGCCGCGUGCAGGAUGAAGGCCUUCGGGUUGUAAACUGCUUUUGUACGGAACGAAAAGCCCCGGGUUAAUACCCUGGGGUCAUGACGGUACCGUAAGAAUAAGCACCGGCUAACUACGUGCCAGCAGCCGCCGUAA
rnacentral:rRNA from 1 species